CCCGGUGGCCGGAGAUCCAAGCGGCGUUCAUUGAGGGGCCGCUGUAGAGAAGCGGGGAGACAGUGGCGGUCUGCGCGCACAUAGACGGCGAAGUCUGGGGGAGCCUGCGAGAGGCUGCUCACACGCAAAGGGGAGCGGAUUACUAAGGGAAAUUAAAAAAGAAAACGCUUCGAAAGCUACCAGCAUGCGGGAGUUUAUCACUCUUUUUAUGUGACUUGGGGAGUUAUUACAGUACAGCGCGACUGAGAGCCUCCUCGGUACCGCAGAACUGUUCUUCAGCCUGGAUCAACUGGCAAGAAAAAGAAAUAGACUCACGGUUUAAAGCGAGACUUGGCGGGCGCCGGGCGGCACCCACAGUCACUGUUUAUUAAGAGGAGACCGGACGGGUUUUCUAUCGUUUUAUACCUUUUUGUUUCGUACCUUUAUAUAUAUAUAUUUGUUUUUCCCUUUUUUGCCGUCGUUGUAUUUUGGUCGGAAAGCUGAAAUAUGGUCGGGGAAAUGGAAGCGAAGGAGAAGCCGAAACCGACCCCAGAUUAUUUAAUGCAGCUCAUGAACGACAAGAAACUGAUGAGCAGCCUGCCCAACUUCUGCGGGAUCUUCAACCACCUGGAGAGGCUCCUGGACGAGGAGAUCGGCAGAGUGCGGAAGGACAUGUAUAACGACACACUGAAUGGCAGCACGGAACGGCGGGCGUCGGAACUGCCAGAGGCCGUGGGCCCCAUCGCACAGCUGCAGGAGAAGCUCUACGUUCCGGUAAAAGAGUACCCUGAUUUUAACUUUGUCGGGAGGAUCCUGGGGCCCCGGGGGCUGACGGCGAAGCAACUGGAGGCGGAGACAGGCUGCAAGAUCAUGGUGCGAGGAAAGGGCUCCAUGCGGGACAAGAAGAAGGAGGAGCAGAAUCGCGGGAAGCCGAACUGGGAGCACCUAAACGAGGAUCUGCACGUGCUGAUCACCGUGGAGGACUCGCAGAACAGGGCCGAAAUCAAGCUGAAGAGGGCCGUGGAGGAGGUGAAGAAACUGCUGGUGCCGGCGGCGGAGGGUGAGGACAGCCUGAAGAAGAUGCAGCUGAUGGAGCUGGCCAUCCUUAACGGAACCUACCGCGAUGCCAACAUCAAGUCCCCUACCCUCUCUUUCUCCUUAGCCACGGCGGCCCAGGCCCCGCGCAUCCUCACAGCUCCUGCCCAAGCGAUGCCCCCCGCUGCCCUGCGAGCAGCCUCUGCCGCAGUGCCCCCUGCAGGCCCUGCUCUUAUGCCCCUCAUCCGGCAGAUCCAGACCUCUGCCCUCAUGCCGGGUGCCACGCCCCACGCUGCCACCCUGCUGCCCCAGACCCCAGAGUCGGGCCUCAUCUACGCCCCGUACGACUACCCCUACGCCCUGGCGCCGGCUGCGUCCAUCAUGGAAUACCCCAUCGACGCAAGCGGAGUGCUAGGUGUGGCUUUCCCCACCAAAGGCUAAACGGCCCUCUCCGCCUGCCCCCUCCUCACCUGUUUUGUUUCACAGCUGAAAAGGGCGUUGGCCUGCCCCACAUUGUUCAGCCCCCCCCACUGCCAUUUACACGAACUGGGACGGAAUAACACUCGCUUAGAUUAAUACUGUGUUUGGGUAAUAAAAAAUUCACUUCAUGGCCAUACUAAUCAUUUCCCUGAGUGUAGCUGUCUCUGGGAUGCGAUUUGAGGUUGUGGACGGCGCAGACGUGCAGGAGGGUGUUUGGCUUUCCGACCCCACCCUGAUCACAUGACUAGGGAAGCCUCGUAUCAGCCAUUCCUGAACCAAGGACCCAGGUCAGCGGCGGGUGCCCGCUUUCAGGACCUCCGCCCCCACAAAGCAUCGCCUUACAUGUCCUAACUGAAGGAUACCUGCUGUGCCUUCGUUUUUUCUUACCAUGUUCUCUUUUAUUUUCUGUUUGUGUUUGCUGUUGCUGUUUAAUACGCAUCUCCUGUCUCCGUCGAACUCUGAAUGGGAAACCGAGCCGCUAACUGCCUGGUGUGUGUUACCAUCCAAGCAGGUGCGGUCACCACUAAGGUUCGAAGGCACGAGGUUCGAGUUCACCCUUACCAAAGGGUCAUGACCUCUGACAGAGCCGCCACAGGCAACUAACCUUUGACCUUCUGACCUCUGAACUCUACACCCAAUGAUGACCUGACCGCUUCCUGCCCCGCUGACCAGCUCUCUGACCACGUCUUCCCUCCACCGUCUCGCGGUUGCCGGGAAAGCCCAAGCCGCAGCUUCUCACCUUAACAACGUGCCCUAGUGACUUCGCUCUGCCCUCCCCCACCCCCCCGGACCCAGGCCCCGGACCCAGGCCCCGCCCCCAGAUCUAGGUCCCACCCCUUUCCCCUACCUACCUGCUCUGUUGCUGCCCAUUCCUGGUCAGGUGAUCAUGGUCCUGAACCUGCACUGAAUAGUGAAGCAAUAAGGUCCAAUUUAUCCCACCCUGGCUUGCCCCCCCCCUCCACCCCAACCCUGCCCCCACCCUCCCACCUCUCCAGCCUUGUGAAGAGAAGCAGAACGCCGAGAUCUGACAGCAGCCCCUGGGGGGGGGAGGGGCGAGUUGGUGCCAUCCUCUCUACAAUGGGUGUGGGGGUCCCUCCCAAAUCACAGGCACCCUGCUGGGGGACCUCGGGCCUCUCCCCCACAGCGUGCCCAUCAAGUCCCCAGGGUGUCGUGCCACCCAGCCUUCCUCUCCGGCACGUCACCGUCACACGCACACCCGCCCGCCCCCUCCCCACCGCAGGAACACGCAACCUGUGAUUUGCACGACUGUUCCUGGGUGUGGGGGGGGCAUCAUCCAGCACGGGUAGGUGCAGCCAACCGUCAACGCCCCCAGCCGGUCCUGAAGGGCCUCAGCCGCCGGUCACCGCCAGCGACCUGCUUCCGGAAGGCUCCGCGCGCGUGCGGCUCACGGCCGCUUAGCCCUGCGACUGCAAAGCCGGAAUUUGAAAAACUUACUCUGGGUUCUGAAUCUGAAUCGCACCCUUGGCAGGGGCUGUCCGUCAUAGACGGGUCUCUCCUGUCAUCCUGCGAUAGGGUGACACAGCGAAGGAACAGGGCCCCCCAGGACCGCAGGUAGCGGUACCAGCGGCCCAUGUCGCUGCCUGCGGGGCGUGAGGAAGGCGGCCGCGUGAAAAGCACCCUUUUCGAAGGAUGUAAAAGCCAUGCUCUGAUUUUAUGGGAGGAAGAACUGCUGACUGAUGUACAAUAUCUGGGAAUGAGCAAACAAACACUGAAAUAUUAAAUAUGUACUUUUGUGACACAGGGGUGCUGCAGAAGAGUAGGAGUAUAUUUUUCAGAAGUGUAGCCUUUUCUAUCUUACAGUAUUGUAUAGAAAAUAUGGAACAAAGAAGCCCUUUAUGUCACCACGGGGAGGGGGGGUCAUUUCCACCAUGGGGAGGGGGACUCUCCUUUUUGCAGAUGGAGAAGCAUCGACCAAAACCGCCUUUUGUUCUUUAGUUUUUUCAUUAAGCAUUUAUGAUGUCGAGGAAAAAAAAACAUGAAAGUGCCUUAUGUCCUGCUGGCCAAUGAACAGCCUGGAUUCUGCAGGCCCCACCCACCAGCGGUGGGGGCGGGCUCUCGGGCUGGCGGCAGGCCGGCCUGUGCCUCGCUCCAGUUGAGGAGAACAGACCGAGUCGCAGCUGGCCUUCCCUGUCAGGACUGCGAUUAGAUUGGCUUCCGAAGACUGUUCUUCACGAGGGUCAUUAAUCGUGGUCAUAAUAAUAAUGAAUAAUAAUAACAGCGGCUGAGGAGCUGUGGCGUGACUGUGGACCUUAACGUAUAGCUGUCCCGAUCAUGGCCAUCGCCUGCAGCUAGCAGAAAGCCUAAAUCUGCAGAGGGGCUUGUGGGAUUUGGAGUUCAGCAGUUGUAGUCUCUCGUUAUUCCCUCCCCUUACAGGUAUCCACCCCAGCAGCUGUACUGAAACGCGCCUGGAGAUUGAGCUUUUUUGCUCUUUCUCCACAUCAAUAUCUACCUUCAGGGUUUAUUUGACCGACCCUUUGUGUUUCCUGUUACCGGUCCUGCGAUAUUUAAAUUCCCACUGUGAGUCGCCGCAGUCCUGUAGUACCAGAUCGUCCGGUAGAGCUUCUGCCGUCAGGCUACUGUGUGAAUGUCGGGGCUUUGGGGGGGCUUGUGGGCGUGGCCAUGAUUAUGACAUCAGCAGCAGGCUCCUCCCUCUUCGCUUACUAUGCAACUAAUGGGGCUCCACUGGUGAUUGUUUUCUCUGGCAUGAAGUGUCUUCCUGGCUACAUUUACAUAUAUAGUGCCAUAUCUCAAUGCCGUGGGACAGGCUGAGGAGGAUGGGGACGUCCUCGGUCACCCCGGCAGAAUUACGUUCGAUGACAUCAUCUCACUCUCAUGCAAUACGCAGUGCACCUCAAUUUAUGAUGGUCGCAUGAUUUCAUUUCCAGUAUUACUUUUUGUUUCUCUUCCUUUCUGUGGACACCUGUUUGUUUUGUAGCCAAUUCUGAGUUUGCUCCAGUGUGCCCUUUGUAUUAUGCCAAACCACUGACAUUUCAUAUUUCAGUUCCUUUCUUCUAAUGCUUUUUGUUUCUUUUUCGAAGUGUACAAAUUUAUUGCCUCUAAGCACGGGAAAAUCACACGGACAUGUUUGCAGUUACGGCUGAAAUUCAGUGUACUUUUCUAUUCUAUUUUGUAUGUAUGUAAUAAAAAAGAUAUUGACUUAUUUCUAGAUAUGAACUGCAAAGGGGUAAAAAAAAAAAACACUAAAGAUCAAAAUUGUACAGGUUUCGAACAAGAUGUGCCUGGUAUUUCUCUGUAGACCUGUAUGCCUUACAGUGACUGAUGAUUUUCUCUAGGGGCUCGGAAGAGUCCCUGUGCCAUGGUAACACAAAGGGGAGCGCGAGGGCGCCCCUAGUGGAUGGUGUAAGCCGUCACCUCCAUCGCCACCAGUGUUAACUAGCAUAGUCUCUGUCCAGCUAAUGAUGCACGAUAUAUAUAUAACUGUCUUAUAGUGCCGAGUGUGUUUUUAAAAAGCAAUAUUAUGCCGUUUCAUUUACUGUUGGUUUUUGGUUGUUUUGAUGCGGCAUCAUUUGGACGCCGGGCCCAUGCCUGACUGAGCCGGUCGCUUCCGGAGAUUUCCGUCUCCGUGGGGACCGUCCCUCGCUUGCUGUCUCUCCGCUCUCUGGCAUCACAGAUUAACCUGUAGUAUUAUUUUAAUGAACGUCACACAUGCAAACUUACUAACAGCGGACAGGGGUCUGAAUCGUUAACCGCUCCAGCGUCCGUUUUAGAUGCCUGCUUUGGUUGUUUUAAAACAUGAAUUGUCUGUAAUUAAACAAAGGGGUGGGCUGAGAAACGUAACUUCUUAGAGUGCUAAACAGAAUCAUAACCCUUUGUACUGGAAAGCAAUAGUGGAGUAUUGAAAUCCUAGUGGAAAAAAAAAUAAAUAAAACUAACUUUGGUGCUA